rnacentral:tRNA from 3 species
GGCCCGUUCGUCUAGGGGUUAGGACAUCAGAUUUUCAUUCUGGCAACAGGGGUUCGAUUCCCCUACGGGCUA